UCAUUAUUUUGAGAUGCUAAGUCAUUAUUUUGCCAUACUUAGUUGUUAUUUAGAGAUAUUAAGUUGAGAUACUAUGUAAUUAUAUUGCGUGGGCAGCUAGUUAGCAAGUCAGCAUUUACUGCUUCAGACACAAGCAUAACCUAAGAAUGCUAAUGCUAACCUAGCCUUUUUCAGCUGGUGCUUUUUCAAUGGUAAACAGUCAGUCUGGUUUGUAAAGAGGUAGAAACUAAUACUAAGUGUAAAGAUUGAUGUUAAAAGCUUUAUUUUCAUCAGUUUAUUUUUAAAGAGAUUAGUAAUGAACUUCAGCUUGGUGUUUUUUAGCUUCCUGUUGACAUUUUGUGGUUUUGUUCUGCUUCACUACACAGAUAGCUAACGCUAGCUACACUGCUAUGGAGAGAUAAACACUGGGCUGGGUUGCAACAUUUUGUUGAGCUGGAGGGGACUACGCAGGUCAAUUCAAUGGGAGAUGCCUUAUGAGGCAGCUGUAAACGGCUCGUCACUGUAAAAUUUAUAGAUGAGUUUGUUCUGGGUGAGGAGACGUUCCACGGGGUUUUCCAGUAAAUGGAAGCUGCUGGUUUACCCUGAGCUCUACAGACGGCAAAAGUGUGACCAUCCUUAUCCUUUUCCAGCCAGCCAGUCAGAGUCAGACGGUCUAAAGGAUGAUCAGAGAGAGACUUUUUAACAAGUUGUUAAAGGCAGGGUCGCUUGUGGACACAGAGAUAUAACAGUUCUUCUCUUACAGGAAGUAACACUUCAAAUCUGCAUCAUGUAGAGAAAUGUAGCUGCAUAGCUUUGCUGGGUAUAUGGGAGCAUUUCACUUCAAAGUCUAAUCAGUACCGAAAUCAGGACUGCAUUACCAGUAAAUAGGUCUGGACAGCAGUCAGUGGAAUUUCCUGUCUUUUGCCGGUGACGUAACUGCUGAAGGAAAUUUUUCAUUAUGGAAUUGAAAUUGUCCAAUAUAAUCUGCCCAUGCCUUAGAUGAAGUGAGCAGUCAUGUGAUCAUGGUUCUUCUUUACUUUAUGGUAUUUACCAACUGCUUUAAAUAUAUUCCUCAUACUGUACUGUAAUUAUUUUUUUAUUUUAUCUUUCUAUUUAAUAUAUGUAGGCUUGUGUUUUUUUUAUGUUUUUUUAUCUUGUACACAAGGGCUAUCUUUCCUUGGAGCUUUAGUUAAUGCACUAAAAGAAUAAGAGGAUUGCAGGUCUACAUAUUAAUUGUAUGCUCUGUCACUGUGCACUGCAAGCGCCUUUAAAAUCAAACAUAUAUUUCUUGUAUGUGCAAAAUAAGCCUGCUGUUUUUGCACAACACAGACUUUAAAGUCAGGCUAAGUAAGUACUUAAUUUAGACUUUUUUUUUCCAUCUCAGUUUAAUCAACUUAUUUUAGUUAAAUCCCAAACACAUCAGUGAAUGGUAAUUUGCUGUUUAUUAUCUGCAGUAUAGAACCCCGCCUAUUACAUGGGGGCAUGUCUUCAUAUUCUCAGACUCCUGAAUGGAGAGUUGUGGUAUUAAUGGGAUUUUAACUCAGGGUAUAUUCUGAAAAAAAAAAAGUAUAUUUACUUAGAACUCAGUGCAGAACUCAGCGAUUAUUUGAUUAUAAUGACAACAUAUUGUGGUGCUGAUUAUUUUUAAUUGUACAGCUAAUAUCAGUAAGCAUGCAGCAAACCAAGCUCUUUUUGAGUUUGUUCGAGAAAUAUACAAAUACCUUCUCAGCAUAUAACAACAAUAAAGAGAGACAGACAUUGUGCUUAUCACUGAAUUCUGCUAUACAGUAUAUUUACACACUCUGAAAAAUGGAGGACUCAAAGGGCAAUGCUAUAAAAAAGCACUUUUGUUCAUGCUAAAAGAUAUAAAAGAAUGUAUCUAUGCAACUGUACUGUUUCGUCAUGUAACUCUACACUUAGUUUACAUACCUUUUUUAUAUUAAUCUUUAUUUUCUGGUAUUUCAGAUCACAUUUACAUAAAAAAUAAGCUCUGAUUUGCUGAUUAUGCACUUUCCCAAAAUUAUGGCUAUAGGACAAAAUGAGUCAGAGCCCUCGGGGUAAGUUUGACCAACAGGCAAUCUUACCCACUUUUGUUUACAAGAUGUUAAAUCAAAUAUGUAAUAAAAUAUGUGCUAAAAUUAGUGUUGCAUCCACAAUCCACAUCCACAUAAUUUCCAUUAUGUAUUAUAUAUACUUACCAAGAAACUAAGAAUUCUUCCCCUUAUCAAAUCAGCUAAUCCUUUUUUGGCAGUGAAAUGCAUUAAUAAAGCCAGCAGCUUCAUGAGAGAUAGAUAGAUAGACAGACAGACAGACAUGUACUUUAGGAAACAUGUACUGUUUAAAUUAACCAUCAGAAUAAAGAAAAACAUGAUUUUAGUGAUUUUGAGUGUGGCAUCAUUGUUGAUGUCAGAAAACAUGCUGAUGACUUGGAAUUUUCAGUCCUUUCAUGAGGCUUUGUUAAUGUAUAACUAUUGGUGGAAUUAAACAUGUUUAAUAUGUAUUUAAUAACUGGUUACUCAGUCAGCUGGAUCAUCUUACCCCUAACAUGGGUCCAAAUGACUCUCAUAAACACUUUUUUGGGGGGGAUCUCAUAGUUAGGGACACUGCUUGGGUUUUAAUUUAUUUAAAGUGUGGUUUUCAUUAUUUUUAUUUCUGCCACAUUCUCUUAUAGUUUCUUAUCUAAUAGUCAAAUUAAGUGAAGCAUGGCUAAUCUUACCCAACUCUUUUCCAUAGUGUGGGUGUGAAAAACCUUUAAGUUGUAAAGACACACACUCACACUAUAUCUCUAUUACAAUAUGCUUCUUUAUUGAGCUAAAAGUGAUUCUUCUUUAUUUUAUUGAGUGCAAGUGCGUGUAUGCGUGAACGUGCAGGGCUGUAUAAUCUGAUGAGUCCGGUGCAUAUUUUGCAAGCCACAUGCUUUGUGUAUCCGAUUAUACAGGAUGCGGUUUGAGCUGCCCCCCAAACAGCUUUUUUCAUUUGUAUCGUUCAGCGGAGGCAACGUGAGCGUGGUGAAAUGUCACUGAUUAGACUGAAACAAACAGAACAAACACAACCACUUAUGGCUGGCAAGUUUUUGCUGACAUGUGGAAAUGCUGUUCAGACCCUCAAAACCACAAGAACAGCACAGUAUGAGUCAUUAACACCUGUUUUGUUUACAAAAAAUGCUCAUUUAUAAUCAUUUUUAUGUAACAAUAAUUAAAUUGAUGCGUGAAA